rnacentral:rRNA from 1 species
UACGGGGGGGCAAGCGUUGUUCGGAAUUACUGGGCGUAAAGGGCUCGUAGGCGGCCAACUAAGUCAGACGUGAAAUCCCUAGGCUCAACCUAGGAACUGCGUCUGAUACUGGAUGGCUUGGAUCCGGGAGAGGGAUGCAGAAUUCCAGGUGUAGCGGUGAAAUGCGUAGAUAUCUGGAGGAACACCGGUGGCGAAGGCGGCGUUCUGGACUGUUACUGACACUGAGGAACGAAGCCAGGGAGCAAACGGGAGUAGA